rnacentral:lncRNA from 10 species
CUGCGCCUGGCCGAAAAUGAUUUCUUAAAUAAUAACACAAAAAGUAUACAGACCCCUAAAACCCUGCCAAUAACAAGUAUUGGUUAGGCAGCACAGAACAGGACCUGUGAAUUUGAUGAGUUAUCACUCCUGUGAUUUGAUGAUGUCAUAUGGCAUAGUUGCCCUUGUUUUGUUUUGCUUUGUUUUGUUGAGACAGGGUCUCAUUUGUUGCCCAGGCUGCAGUGCAGUGGUGAAACCAUAGGUCACUGCAACCCGGAACUCCUAGUCUCGAGCAAUCUGUCCAUCUCUGCCUCACGACUAAAGAAACAACUGGCAAGUUUAAUAAAUCGAACUUAAAUCUCUGAAAAGACACUGUAAACAUAAAUAAAAGAUAAGCAAAAUAUUGGAGGAAAACAUAAACCAAAAAAACCCUCGACAAACCCAGAAGGUAUUUUUAAACUCCAAAUAAGUCCAGGCGCGGUGGCUCACGCCUGUAAUCCCAGCACUUUGGGAGGUCGAGGCAGGGGGAUCACUUGAGGUCAGGAGUUCAAGACCAGCCUGGCCAACAUGGUAAAACCCCGUCUCUACUAAAAAUAUAAAAAUUAGCCAGCCGUGAUGGUGGGCGCCUGUAAUCCCAGCUACUCAGGAGGCUGAGACAGGAGAAUCUCAUCAACCCAGGAGGUGGAGGUUGCAGUGAGCCGAGAUCACGCCACUGUACUCCAGCCUGGGCAACAGAGCAAGACUCUAUCUCAAAAAACAAAUUAACUACAAAUAAAUAUGAAUAGGACUAAAAUAUGAUAGAAACAUGGAGAAAGGCCAUAAGGCAGGAAUACACAUCAGAAGAAACUAGGCUGAUAGACCAGAAAGAAAAUAUGCUUAGCAUUACAUGCCUAGCAGUAAUCAGAGAAACCCCAGCACUGUGAGGACAGGGCUUCACCUGCCUUGCUCAUGGCCACACACCCUGUUCAUGGCACUGUGAGGGCAGGACUUCACCUGCCUUGCCCGUGACCACACACCCUGUUCAUGGCACUGUGAGGGCAGGACUUCACCUGCCUUGCCCGUGACCACACACCCUGUUCAUGGCACUGUGAGGGCAGGACUUCACCUGCCUUGCCCGUGACCACACACCCUGUUCAUGGCACUGUGAGGACAGAGGGCUUCACCUGCCUUGCUCGUGGCCACACACCUUGUUCAUGGCACUGUGAGGACAGGGCUUCACCUGCCUUGCUCGUGGCCACACACCCUGUUCAUAGCACUGGUUGGUAUUCGUAGCAUUGUCAACAAACCAGAUACACAUCAAUAUAACGUGAUGGAUUUCUCAGCCUUCAAAAUAGCAAGUUAAAAACCCUGCCAAUUAAAAGAAAAGGCAUAAACAUGACUAUGAUAAAAAA